AAUGAAGUGCCUGAUUUAAAAGGGUUAUUUUGAUAGAAUAAAUUAUGUAAAUUCCAACUACCUUCAUUA
rnacentral:tRNA from 1 species